rnacentral:lncRNA from 1 species
AUUUCAGGGGGAAAGAGGAAGACACCAGGAAGUUUUUCACCAGCCAGAGUAUCGCACUCCUACCAAGUGCAUCUCUGCGAAGACAAAACCCCAUAAUGAAAGAAACAUUCUGAGGAUGUUUGCUGAGCUCCAUAAUUGAGAGAAAGAAGUUGGACAAAGACACACCCACAGGGAAAGCACCAUGAGAAGAUGACGGCAGAGAUCUGGGCGACGCGUCUACAAGCCAAGCGACACCAAAGGUGGCCAGCAGCCCAUGUGAAGCUGGAGGAGAGGCCUCGAAUAAAUGCUCCCUUACAGCGUUCAGGGGGAACUGACCCUGUCCACACCUUGACCUUGAACUUCUGGGCUCCAGAACUGUGAGACAGCAUGUUCUGUUGUUGAAGGAGCAGCGUGGCUAGAGGAAUUCCUGCAGCUUAGAUUUCGCUGGCACUGUUACCACUCCCAGAGAGGAGCGGCUGGAGUUCACGGCUGGUUCCUGACAAACUUCCUAAUUAAUCUGCUAAAGAUCAGAGGAGGACUAAUAGGAGCUGAAGACUGUGUGCGAGACCACCCCUCCGCCCUCUCCCUUUGUGUGUGCACGUGUGUGUGUGUGUGUGUGUGAGCGCGUGCGCGCAUGUGGUGCUGAGCUUGGCGGGAGAGAGAUGGCCUCACCAGCGACAAAGCAUUCCUGCUGCUGUUGCUGCCACCUACCUUCCCUGCUUUGGGAGGAUACAUUUUCUCCUCUUGCUUAGAAGUUUCAGGGAGUCACCCAAGCCUUCUUCUCCCAGAUACAACGGUGGAAUAAAAUAUCUUCCAGCCAACAUAUUUUUUGGAGACGGAAUCUCACUCUGUCACCUGGUUGAAGUGCAGCAGCGCGAUCAUGGCUCACUGCAACCUCUGCCUCCCGGUUUCAAGUGAUUCUCCUGCCUCCGCCUCCCGAGUAGCUGGGAUUACAGGCAUGUGCCACCCACCACGCCUGGGUAAUUUUUGUAUUUUUACUAGAGACAGGGUUUCACUAUGUGGGCUGGGCUGGUCUCAAACUCCUGACCUCUGGUGAUCUGCCCACUUCGGCCUCUCAAAGUGCUGGGAUUACAGGCAUGAGCCCCCGCACCCGGUUGCAACCAACUUUUUUGUGGAAUAUAGGAUCUUGAUGUUUGGAUGCCUGAAGGCAGAAGCUGUUGCACAUGGAAUGGAUUAAAGUUUUCCCCUCUGCAACCAAAAAUCCUUGGGGUCCCAGGAGCAAAAGAUGCUCCAUGGCACAGGACAAUUCAAGAAGGCCCGAGGUGAUAUUGAAGACUGCAGAGACAUCCAGCUCAGUUGUGUCUCCGGAGGUGUCCAGACUUUGCAGACAGACGUUGCACAUAAAGAGCUGAAAAACUGAGGAAGCUGAGCUGGAGAAGGAAGUCACUUCUACUCAGACUUGACCUGCGUCUGAUGCUAUGGGGCCUCUUAGGGUUACCUCAUGCUUCAUGCACCCCUUUCUCUGUUCUUCAGCAGAAGGCAGGGUGUAGGGAAGCGGGACUGUGCCUCCUUUCUCCCUGCCAGGCCUGACUCUCCAGGCCAAGAGACACCAUUAAGGAGUAUAAUUUGUUGAUCCAGGCUCUCCUUGCGUUUCAGUGCAGAGUGGCAUCGUUUUCUUUAUGACCUCGUAAAGUCACAGCCGAGAGGCCGAUUUGGAAAACAAACUGCCUCAGGUUGACAGAUAAUUAGAUACAGGGGACAUAUUAUAUGCCUUUGCAUAUAAAUGUGCUCCGAGGCGUGUUGGUUCAUCUGAAGUUGAGGUUAAAGGCGCGCCAGGUAUUCCUGACACAUCAGGAUAUAUAUUUUCAUACAGUCUCAGCAGGAUCUUGGCAGUGGACUGCCACGGGAGCUCUGGGGAAAAAGGACCAGUUGGACUCCAGUACCUCCUGAGAGACCACCACCCUCCAUGCCUCCAGCUCAUGCCCAGCUCUGAGUCAGACGGACUCUUCCUGUUGUACUGCGAGGUUCUGCAAACCUUGAAGGGCAAACACAGUGAGGGUCUCUGACUUGCUGUGUGGACAGCCCACUCUCUGACAGCCCAGAUCAUCUGAAGCUAUCCCUGGGCUGGGAGCUGGAAGCCAUUCUUGUGAACCACUCCUUAUACCUUGAGCGAAGCCUCUUUGGGUCCCAGAAGUCUGAAGCUCCAGCUGCCUGGCAAGACUGAGUCUAGAUGAUUUCUUGGGUACCAGUAGUUUGGCAUUUAAAAAUACUGGAUUAACUGCAGUGUAAACUUAGAUUGCAUUUCAGAUUGUAAACAAUAACCCCCGUGCUUCAUGUGAUGUUAAAUCAGAAAUGAGCUAUUAGCCAAGCUAGUCCUCUUAUGAAUGAGCCCCUAACCCUGAUCCAGGGAUCGUUGAAUGAAAAUCAUCAAAAUGAUUUAUCUUCACUUUACCUAUUGUCUCACAAGAAUCUCAUCACUCAGGGAAAAGGAGGGUGUUCUUCAGGGAACGGAGGGCAUGAGGAAGGGGGAUUUCCUUAUAUCUCAACUUUCAGAGGGAGCUGAGUUGUAAACAGAUGGAACAAGGUGUGUACGAGAAGCCUCUUAGAUUUAGUCUUUCAUAUCAAGGCUCUUGCUGAAAAUCCUGGCACAGCUGUGAAAUGAGGGGAGCUCUGACACACAGAGACACGCUCCUUGCCUCACCAACCUUCCCAUACACAGUCAUGCGCACAGAGAGCAGGUACCAAUACUGAAAAUGCCCUUCCGGAGUUUCCUCAGCUUAAACCCUUGACAGCAUUAAGUGAGGAAGGAGUUUCCUUGACCUGGGGAAGAAGAACCAACUCAUAAACAUGGAACUGUGCCCACUGCCUUUUCCUUUGCUCUGUGGAUUGGCUGUGGUUCUGCCCUGGCACUCGGAUGUCAAGUUGCUCUGGCUGUUUGGGAGGAAGCCCAGCCUGGGUCAGGUGGUCAUAAGCCAGAGGCCCUGUCCUGUCCCCAGGGUUGGCCUCCCUCUGGGGUCCAGCAUGGCCCCAGUGCUGAGGCUCCCACUGCUGGGGAAUGUGCCCUCUCCUCUCUUUGUUUCCAUACCAAGGGGAUCUGCAGGGUAGAGGGCAAAUUAUUCUUAGCAGAUUGGGGCUAUGGGUAAACCAGAAGGGAUGAGGGAGAGAGGAGAGAGGAGAGGAAAGGGAAGGAGAGGGGAGGGCAGGGGAUAGGUAGAGGAGAGAGACAGCAAGAAAAAAUAGAAAAAAAAAAAAAGGAAAUAAAGGUUGCAUAUACAAAGGGAGAUUAACAAGGAGUAGAAGAAGGGAGGCAGAAGAGGGAGAAACAGAGAAGAGGAACAAAGAAGACAUUUCCAAAAAAGACGUGAGCACACCAGGCAGGAGGGAGAAAAGGAACAAGGAGAAAGGAAGGAAGUGAGACAAGCUGGGGAGAGAAGAGGCAAAGGCAGCCAGGAGCAGGCAUAGGGGAGAGAGGAGUGGGAAGCCCCAGGGGGUACAAGGAAAAAAAUGAGGGAAGCCAGUGGGAGGAAGGUGAGGAAGAGGAGAGGGAACAGGCACUGGGUGGGGAAGAGGCGAGCAGGAGAAAGCCUGUGCUGUGUGGAUUAUUGUGUGUUUGUCAUCUGGAAUGGUAUAAGCUGUAGGUACAGCAGCUCCCGCCCAUGAUUUAUGGUCCCUGUCAGGCAGGGACCGCGCUUUGUCUGCUGUAGCGUGGACGAUGAAUGCUCCGCUGUCAUCCCAGCCUGGCCGGCCUUUCUCUCUCUCUGCUCCCAACGCUGGCUCCCCAUUUCACGCCAGUGAACAUAAGCAAUCUUUUGUAAACCUGACAGUCACACUUGCUUCUUUGGAAACAUAAAGCAGAAAUGUAUGACUCGGCUUUCAUUACCCAAUUUCCUACGCUAUAUAAAAACACUCAGGAAAGACAUGUAAGUGGUCACGAAACCUGGGAAAUUGGAAGUGUCCUGGAGGAAAAAAAAAGGAAGAGUGGGGAGAAGGGGGCUGUAGGGUGGGAGGGAGCCGGUGAGGAGAGGAGACGAUGUGUCUAACUCCACCACAUCCUUCCCAGAAAACGCCGGCUGAUAAACGGGCCAUGCAGACACAUAAUUAUAUUACAUAUCUGAAUAAUAGACAUUUCCUGCCUGAAGUGUUGCUUUUUUUCCUCCUUCUCCUUUUAAC